rnacentral:rRNA from 1 species
UACGGGAGGCAGCAGUGGGGAAUAUUGCACAAUGGGCGCAAGCCUGAUGCAGCCAUGCCGCGUGUAUGAAGAAGGCCUUCGGGUUGUAAAGUACUUUCAGUCGUGAGGAAGGUGUUAAGGUUAAUAACCUUAGCAAUUGACGUUAGCGACAGAAGAAGCACCGGCUAACUCCGUGCCAGCAGCCGCGGUAAUACGGAGGGUGCGAGCGUUAAUCGGAAUUACUGGGCGUAAAGGGCACGCAGGCGGUUAAUUAAGUUGGAUGUGAAAUCCCCGGGCUUAACCUGGGAAUGGCAUUCAAGACUGGUUAGCUAGAGUCUUGUAGAGGGGGUAGAAUUCCAUGUGUAGCGGUGAAAUGCGUAGAGAUGUGGAGGAAUACCGGUGGCGAAGGCGGCCCCUGGACAAGACUGACGCUCAUGUGCGAAAGCGUGGGGAGCAAACAGGGAUAGAUACC